CCAACAGGGAUUGCCUUAGUAACGGCGAGUGAAGCGGCAAAAGCUCAAAUUUGAAAUCUGGCACCUUUGGUGUCCGAAUUGUACUUUGGAGAGGCAUCUUCUGGAGGGGCCCGGCCUAUGUGCCUUGGAACAGGACGUCAUAGAGGGUGAGAAUCCCGUCCUUGGCUGGAUGUUCCCUCCUGUAAGUAGUGUCUUCUACGAGUCGAGUUGUUUGGGAAUGCAGCUCAAAAUGGGUGGUAAAUUUCAUCUAAAGCUAAAUAUUGGCGAGAGACCGAUAGCGCACAAGUAGAGUGAUCGAAAGAUGAAAAGCACUUUGAAAAUAGAGUCAAAAAGUACGUGAAAUUGUUGAAAGGGAAGCGCUUGAGACCAGAGUCAGCCUUUGGCAAACAACUAUCCUUCUGGAUGGUGCACUUGUCAUUGGUUGGGCCAGCAUCGGUUGGGACGGCAGGAUAAAGGCCCAGGGAAUGUGACUCCUUUAUGGAGUGUUAUAGCCCCAGGCGGCAU
rnacentral:rRNA from 1 species